UUUGGAAAAGUCAUGACAUUAUGUUUUUGUAUGCAAAAAUAUGUCAACUUUUCCAGUGA
rnacentral:pre_miRNA from 1 species